rnacentral:lncRNA from 1 species
GUUAUAUUUCCAAAUUUCUAUAUAAUAAAAUUUUCAUAUAAAAUAAAACCAAAAACAGUUAAUUUAAAUCUAAAUCAUUCCAAAAUAUGAUACCAUCCAAACUUUUAAAAUAUCUUACAUGCUUGGUUUACCAAAACUGAAGAGCUAAAUAUGAUUUUUUUUAGAUGUUUCAUACAAACCAAACUAAAACAAUCAACCUAAUUAUCAGGUCCACUAGAACUACUUUCCCAUUCUUCAUUUUGAACCUUCUUCCAUUUCAUCAUCUUCAUUUUCAUAUCCUUGACUUUCUUCAUCUUCUUCAUUGACAUCAUGACCGUAGGGAACUUGUAGUCGGGAAGGAUCAAAAGUAAAUUGAAAUUGUGGUGGUUGGGCGUUUGGAUUUUGAGAUAAGAACAUUUGAUGCAUCUGUUCAGUAAAUUGUUGACUCAUUUGUUGAGUCAACUCUUGAGCAAAUGCAUUGAAGUUUUGGGCAUUGGUUGAUGUACUUGGCCCAUAAUAUGGUGCUACAUUCUUCACUUUUCUUCCAACACCUCUUGUAUGACCGCUUCUUUCUCCAAGUGCACACUUGAGGCAUUCUGUCUGAUCAACCAAUGAAUCAUCACCAUUACUUUUUUUUACAAGUCUUUAAAAAAGAAAAAAUCUCUAUAUGACUGUGUUGCCCCUGGUAAGGGAUAUACUGAAAUGUUUGGGCCUUAAAGUAAUCUUUGAAUUGGUUGCUAAGCAAAAAUAAAUCAAACUAAAAGAAACAAAUAAACUAAUUUUUUUUCCUUACAGGGGUAUACCGAAAUGUUUAAUUUCCCUGCAGGGGUAUACCGAAAUGUUUAAUGUUUAAUUAUAAAACAUAUAUUUGUGUCAUACAAAGCAUAAUUAGUUAAAAUAAAACUUUAAUUUUGAACAGGAGAAAUUUGGGAAGGGGCAUUUUUGUCAUUUUAUUAUCAAACAAAGUUAUUUGUUUAAAGGUGUGUCUUAGUGAAUAACUGAACUCAAGUGUGGUGUGAAAUGUUGAAGAUCUUUGUGUUAAUUUUUGGACAUCCAACACACAUUAUCUUUUACUUGUAUGUGAUUGUUGUUUAUAGCCACCAAAUGUGAAAUAUUCAUAUUAAACAAAGAUGGAUAAUGUUCCUGAUGGAUGUGUUUUUUUGAGGUUGAAUUUGUUAAUACAACUUAAGUUCGAUAUAAUAUUGACAUAAAAACAACCAUUAGGCUGAAUUUGGACCAGACUCAGAUUGGUAAGCAAUAUAUAAAAGCUGAGUAUCAAGUCUAUCAAGUCAGAAACAUGUGGCCAUUAACAAAGCUUCCUUCUCAUGAUCUGUGCUAAUCUGUGAAGUAUAUUAAAAGGGAAACUUAUUGUUACUAUCUCUUUUCAUUAUUUCAACAAAACAGAAAAAUAGGUGGGCUGUUAUCACGAUCCAAACAAACUAAAUUAAACAAUAUAAUACUAGCAUUAUACAAAAGAUUUGGGAACAAACAAAGGGGUAGGGCACUAGGGCUGCUACGUCCUUGCCAACAGACUUAGAACUUAGAAUAAUAGAAAUAAUAUUACUAGCAAUUUACAUCCUUUUGUCCAACUCCCCCAGAAAACAUAUACACGAAUAAUUGUUGGAAAUAACCCAAACAACAAAUACAUGAAUAACGAGAAAAGGAGAUGUUCUUGUAUUCUAAAACAUACACCGUUCAUACCUGUUGGGAGGAAGUAGAAAACCGAUUUCAGAAAGAAGGGAGACUGCCGGAAUGAGAGGGAGACCGCCGGAAUGAGACCACCUGCAAUUUAGAAGAAAACAGAAUAAAUCCUGAGCUGGAGGGAAAAUAUCAUAGUGAAAGGCUAAAGGAGUUGACGAGGGAAAUGGUGGUCAAUUGACGAUCGAAUCUUCCCUAUCGGCUUACAGGAAACGACGAUUUCGCCUCAGCUCACAAACAGGUGCUGUGGGUGCGAGACUGCGGGUGACUGAUUGGGAAAAGGGAUUUCAAUCCAGCGAAACCCUAUAGGGACGAUAAGUCCUUCGUAUACCUGCCCAUUAAAACGGGGUCGUUCCAGUUUUCCUUAUAUAUACACAUUAAU